rnacentral:tRNA from 2 species
AAUAAGAUGCCUGACAAAAAGGACUAUUUUGAUAGAAUAGAACAUGUAUAUAUAUAUACUCUUAUUA